rnacentral:rRNA from 1 species
ACGGGUGAGUAAUAUAUCGGAACGUGCCCAGUAGUGGGGGAUAGCCCGGCGAAAGCCGGAUUAAUACCGCAUACGACCUACGGGUGAAAGCGGGGGAUCGCAAGACCUCGCGCUAUUGGAGCGGCCGAUAUCUGAUUAGCUUGUUGGUGGGGUAAAAGCCUACCAAGGCGACGAUCUGUAGCUGGUCUGAGAGGACGAUCAGCCACACUGGGACUGAGACACGGCCCAGACUCCUACGGGAGGCAGCAGUGGGGAAUUUUGGACAAUGGGCGCAAGCCUGAUCCAGCCAUGCCGCGUGCGGGAAGAAGGCCUUCGGGUUGUAAACCGCUUUUGUCAGGGAAGAAACGGUCUGAACUAAUACUUUGGACUAAUGACGGUACCUGAAGAAUAAGCACCGGCUAACUACGUGCCAGCAGCCGCGGUAAUACGUAGGGUGCAAGCGUUAAUCGGAAUUACUGGGCGUAAAGCGUGCGCAGGCGGCUUUGCAAGACAGAUGUGAAAUCCCCGGGCUCAACCUGGGAACUGCAUUUGUGACUGCAUGGCUAGAGUACGGUAGAGGGGGAUGGAAUUCCGCGUGUAGCAGUG